rnacentral:lncRNA from 1 species
CAAUCUCAAGAACCCAAGCUUAACUUUAGUCCCAAUAAGCUUUCAAUGUUACUAACAAUUCAUAUCCUACAGAAUAUAAUACAUCAAACUCAAAACUCAUCAAAAACAAAAAAACAAAAACUAAGCCACUGAACACAAUAAUUCGAAUUUUUGCUUGAAUUUCCAAUUUCAUUUCAUACUUUAACCAUUCUUCACAUGAGAUAGGAUUCAAGAACAAGUACCUGGAAAUGGAAAAAAGGAGGAUAGAGAUGAAGCAUCAGUAAACAACAACAGACCAACAAUCAGUGGUAAUAGAAAAUCCGCCCAGAUUAAGCCAAAACCAGAAAUGAUAUCUAUCCAGAAGAAGAAAAUCCAUCAACCAACUUAAACCAGAUUUUUACUAGCCAAGUUCAAACCAUCUUCUACCUCAAAUAGGAUCAAAUAUCGUUCAGAGAAUGAGAAAUUUUGAAAUUCAAAAUAGAAAUCUCAAUGAAAUUGUAUUUUUCCAAAUUUUCCGUUUGUGAUUUUUUUAGAAUUUUCUAUCUCAGGUCUGCCUUGAAUGGCAAGAUAGGGUGCCUUUAUAGGCAAGGGAAGUAGGGCAACCCGGACAACUUGAUUUUGCAGUUAGGCCCUUUUCCAAUUUUUGUUUUUGCCUAGAUAGCCUAAGGUAAUUAUUAGAUUUUCAACAACAAUCCAAAAGCCAGCUUCUCAGAAGCUUCUUGGGCAAUUACCUAAGAUUCCCUUAGGCUAAACUACCCAAAUUACCCUGUAAUCCCGCACUAUUUACCCUCCCCUCAAAAACAAGUAUGGGCUUAAGUGAAAUGCAUACAGGCCUAAGCCGUGCGGGCUACCAGAAUUUCUCUCCUUCCCUACUCUGGGCUUCCUUUAUACAAAGACCAAACAAAAUUAAAGAAACAAGGCAACGCAGUUUCGGAGAAUAAGAUGAUGAAAACCAGAACAAUUCCAAAGUUGUGAACAAUGAAACUUCAAACACUAACAAAAAAAUGAAAAGGCACAAACAGAAAAGAAAAAGAAAUCAUCAUGAACAAAUAUUGAUUUUCCAAACUGACGAUAUUGAUUUAUGACACAAGAACUGCUGUGUGAAACCAAACUAAGAGGGCAAGCAACGAAAUAAGAAAAGACUAGAAACUAUAGUAAAGAAGGGAAAUAUGUACUUGGAUUUACCAUAGAAUUGACGACUCAGCGAAAUCGAUGACUAAGGAGGAUCCAGUAAAAGGUGAGAAUUGUAACAUGGGCAUUAACCGGAAUUUCUUCGACGGCUAAUGCUCCGUAUCACAAUCCUCAACACCUACUCUGAAAUAAGGAUGAGAGACUUAAAACACGGAUUGCUUGACCAAUUGGUUUCCAUGACGAGCCUUGAAAUUGAUUAAAUAACUAGCCAAUCCGACGUGAUAUCACCAUAAAGAAACAAAUGAGGGAAAAGAUCAAAGAUAGAAAACCGCCACAAAUUUCUGUCUUCCAAGAUUUGAAUUUCACGAGAAUCGAGUGACUUUUGGAGAGAAUUCGUGGUGGAUUUGGAAUGAAGAGGCAGCAAGGACUAUCUGGUCAAGUUUCAGUGGAGUUUAGGGAUCAACCACUAGCGAAUAUGGCAGAAUCGCUCAGGGGAGGCGUUACUUGGUGAUGGAGAUGAGAGAAGGGGAUUCGUUUGGUCUUAGGUUAAAUGAGCGACUUUCAGACACUUUUAUUUGAUAUGGGGAAAGGUUUUUU